UACAGAGGGGGGCAAGCGUUGUUCGGAAUUACUGGGCGUAAAGGGCGCGUAGGCGGCCUUCUAAGUCGAACGUGAAAUCCCCGGGCUCAACCCGGGAACUGCGUCCGAUACUGGAAGGCUUGAAUCCGGGAGAGGGAUGCGGAAUUCCAGGUGUAGCGGUGAAAUGCGUAGAUAUCUGGAGGAACACCUGUGGCGAAGGCGGCCCCCUGGUCGGAUACUGACGCUGAGCACGCGAAAGCGUGGGGAGCAA
rnacentral:rRNA from 1 species